CCUCCCUGCCCGCGCCUGCGUGGGACCGCUGCGGGCGGGAGCCUCGUUCUCGCUGAGGGCGUCCCGGCCUGAGGGGGACGGAAAUGGAAAUGGAGAAUUCUCUCUUCCAGCCUCCGUGUAGACAGGCUCUCUCCCCCCCGGCGUGUUCAGAACGCAACUCAGCUCCUCGUAACUUGCAGGGAGGGCAGAGCCGGACCCUGAUGUCCGCAGUGCAGUCCUCCAGUUCUCACAGAUUGGCCCCAUGCCACCUGUGACUUUUGCUCUCAGAAGGAGCCGGAAGUGCGGAUCCUGGAGGGCUGGAUGCAAAACAUCAAACCUCCUCAGGCCAGUUCUUUUAUGCUGUUACCCAUUGCCUUUUAAAAAAGUUUAUAAACAUAGAUGUAAACAGAAAUAUUUAUAAACAUAAAUCUGUAAAGUUACCAGUGUUAUCUUUUUGAAUUCCACACCAAGGCCAGUAACCUGAGUCAAAGGUCAUCUGAGGUGCAGCAGUGCUGAAAAGCUGCUCAAAAGGCACAGAAUAAAAACAUUCAAUACCCCAAGUGGACACUGCUGUUCACCCACCCGGCUUUGCCAGGUGAUUGUUCAGCGACCUGAGGCUUUACACACACAAGAGCUGAAGUUUGAAGCACAAACACCCGCAGCCACCUGCUCCAGGCGGAGGGUAAAAAUGAAAAUAGCAUAAGGAAGGAGAAGUGCCGUAACAACACUUCCCGUUUAUAUCCUCCCACCUUCUUGCAAUCUGUGCUUUAAGGCUUUUCUGAGACAAAAAUAACUGCAUUUGAUGGCCAUUUCUUCACAUUUUGAUUCUAUUUAUGCCCUUAGCUUGUAAGAUACCAUGACAAUGUGUUUUACAAUUUCAGUGUAUGCAACCUGAAAAACAUUUGUUUUCAUUUUCAACAUAUUGCUGGAUAAGAACAAGGGGCCAAGCAAUGAGUUAGUAGAAAUGGUAGUAACUUUCUGUUUAUUUAUACUCUAAUGUGGACAUUAAUAUCUCCUAAGUCACCUCCUUUAUAAAUCAAAGAUGCAGUGUACUUUUUCCUCCUUUUAAAGUGAUUCUACACUUCUAUUUGGUUUUGCCAUUUUUUUCUUUAUUGACAAGAAAUUCACAGCAUUUAAGAUCUGAACCCCAUAGAGAUCUACAUAAUGAAAGUAUAAAGAUGUUUUUGAUCUGUUGUGUAUUAUUUUCUAGUGAUGUUUUUAAAUUGUUGCUAAGAAUAAAGCAAGGUUUGCAAAGACUAGAGGUCUGCAUGAUACUGUGCUCAAAAGUAACACCUAAAUCAUGCUUAUUUUGUUUAUGAACAUUCACAGCUGUUUGACCCUCAGCAAUCUGGAAUUCCACCGUGCUCAACCAUUUUUUGUUGUAAUUAAUUUUUUUCUUUCAAUAGCACUCCAACUUGACUGGUUUUGUUAAUACUAUCCCAGCAAGUUUCUCAUAGAGGAAUCUCUCCAGGUUUUUUUCAAUAUAGAGUUACUUAAUAUGGAUUGUGAAAGAUUUUUGUCCCCAAACAUUCCCAUUAACAUUUUCCACCUUCUGACCCUACAGGCUUCCUGUUCCCGAUGAGUCUGAAACAGAUUUUUGCAAAGGUUGUAAAAAUAACAAAUUAUCUUUUCUUGUUCUAUUGCAUUUAUCUUAACACACCAUAAUUUGAUUUUGUUUAUGUAUAAUUUCAGGACUCCUGUUACUGUGCUGUUUAAUCUUUCUAAGGUUUUAAAGAACUGAAAAGACUGAACAAAAACCCAGUCUCUGCCUUGUCUACAUGCAGUUAAGUCUGCAAGGAACUCCUUUCAAUUUCCUUUGUAAAAAAACUUCCUCAUUUUUCUGUUCCAGCCUCCUAAAUUAAACACGGAUUUUCCCAUUCUCUUAAUUAAGAGCCAAUACGUGGAAACAAAAAGCUUUGCAGAGCUGUGUAUGUAGCAAACUGAAUUCUGUAUUUAGUUUUGUUUCGAUAGCACAGAUCUGUGUUUGCUUACACACAACAAAAGCUCUUUUGUGUUCCUAAGGUGGUCCAUGCACUUGGAUUUAGAUCUACAAAUAACACCCAUGCGCUGCUAGAGUUCAUACUACUGAGGUUUAAUUGCUGCCUGUCCUUGUUCUUACAGUCAAAAUUGGGACCUCAGCUGCUUUUGUUGUGCUCGAGGAGUUUAACAAUAAAGGGCAUCAUUUUUUUUUUCAACACGGAAAACCCAGAAUUCCUGACGAGCAUGGAAUACUGUUGCUCAGAAAGGAAAAUAAUGACUUUCACCAUACAACCUGUCCUAAAACCUGUAUGCUAGCAGCUAAUAAUAAGUUGCAUUUCUAAAUCUUAUUUUUAAUAAAGGUUUUAGCUCUAAUGCAGAAAUAA